GUUGGGUAAUGAAGUCAAUGCUCUACAAGUGUCGGGGAAACGUUGCCCCCUACUGCUUAUAAGCUCCAGGAGAACAGCAGAGAAGUGGAGAAAUCAAUUUAGGAAACAGUCAUAACAACAGAGUUUCGAUCUCCAAGGAACAAACAGGGAUAACUAGAUACUACAUUCCUGAAGAUAGCAAAACAACAGUUUAACAAAGUCAGAGGAGAACAAAUGCAAUUCCUUGCCCACAAGGAGGAUAAUCCUGCUUAAGCACCUGGCUUUUGUCUGUUUCAGUGCAGUUAGGUUGGGCUAUGUAAGGAGAAUGCACAUCACUGGUGGUUAUGAUAACAUGUUUUUGAUAAUGUUCCAAUUAUACUUCUGAUGCUACCUCACGAAAUGUAUACCUCCAUCCCUCAAGCAUGCCUACCACAAACAUUUCUGUAAGCAAAAUUUGAAAUUUUGAAAUUUUGCUCGAAAACCAAGCUUUUAAUUGAAGUCCUUACAUUUCAUUUGUUUCGGAGCUUUUGCUGGGGAUAGAGAAAAGUGGUAAAUAUUUUUUGGCAGGAGGUUCCAUGUGCAGACGUUCCCUUACCUAAAG